rnacentral:rRNA from 1 species
GACGAACGCUGGCGGCGUGCUUAACACAUGCAAGUCGAACGGAAAGGCCCUGCUUUUGUGGGGUGCUCGAGUGGCGAACGGGUGGGUAACACGUGAGUAACCUGCCCUUGACUUUGGGAUAACUUCAGGAAACUGGGGCUAAUACCGGAUAGGAGCUCCUGCUGCAUGGUGGGGGUUGGAAAGUUUCGGCGGUUGGGGAUGGACUCGCGGCUUAUCAGCUUGUUGGUGGGGUAGUGGCUUACCAAGGCUUUGACGGGUAGCCGGCCUGAGAGGGUGACCGGCCACAUUGGGACUGAGAUACGGCCCAGACUCCUACGGGAGGCAGCAGUGGGGAAUAUUGCACAAUGGGCGGAAGCCUGAUGCAGCAACGCCGCGUGCGGGAUGACGGCCUUCGGGUUAUAAACCGCUUUCGCCUGUGACGAAGCGUGAGUGACGGUAAUGGGUAAAGAAGCACCGGCUAACUACGUG